AACUAACGCUGGCGGCGUGCCUAACACAUGCAAGUCGUACGAGAAAGCCGGCUUCGGCUGGUGAGUAAAGUGGCGCACGGGUGAGUAACGCGUGGAUAAUCUGCCCUUAAGUGUGGAAUAACGUACCGAAAGGUGCGCUAAUACCGCAUAAUGCCUGGCAACACAAGUUGUCCGGCCAAAGAAGGCCUCUGUUUACAAGCUUUCGCUUCAGGAUGAGUCCGCGUACCAUUAGCUUGUUGGUGGGGUAAUGGCCUACCAAGGCUGCGAUGGUUAGCUGGUCUGAGAGGAUGAUCAGCCACACUGGAACUGAGACACGGUCCAGACUCCUACGGGAGGCAGCAGUGAGGAAUAUUGCGCAAUGGGGGCAACCCUGACGCAGCAACGCCGCGUGAGUGAGGAAGGUUUUCGGACUGUAAAGCUCUGUCGAGCGGGAAGAAGUGUACCAUGGCUAAUAUCCAUGAUAUUUGACGGUACCG
rnacentral:rRNA from 1 species